GACGAACGCUGGCGGCGUGCUUAACACAUGCAAGUCGAACGGUAAGGCCCUUCGGGGUACACGAGUGGCGAACGGGUGAGUAACACGUGGGUGAUCUGCCCUGCACUUCGGGAUAAGCCUGGGAAACUGGGUCUAAUACCGGAUAGGACCACUGCCUGCAUGGGUGGUGGUGGAAAGCUUUUGCGGUGUGGGAUGGGCCCGCGGCCUAUCAGCUUGUUGGUGGGGUGAUGGCCUACCAAGGCAGCGACGGGUAGCCGGCCUGAGAGGGUGACCGGCCACACUGGGACUGAGAUACGGCGCAGACUCCUACGGGAGGCAGCAGUGGAGAAUAUUGCACAAUGGGGGCAAGCCUGAUGCAGCGACGCCGCGUGAGGGAUGACGGCCUUCGGGUUGUAAACCUCUUUUAGCACCGACGAAGCGCAAGUGACGGUAGGUGCAGAAGAAGGACCGGCCAACUACGUGCCAGCCGCCGCAGUAAAAC
rnacentral:rRNA from 1 species